rnacentral:sRNA from 1 species
GAGCAGCGCGCGCGGCCCUGCCCCCGGCGCGGCCUCCAGGUGUGCUCCUUCUGCGGCUGCUUGUAGCACUGGUCUCACUGUCCCCGCCGUCAGCCACCGGUUCCUUAUCCGUCUCAUUCCCCCUUGUGGCUUGGCUGAGCCCGUCGCCAGGCCUCGCUGUCCUCCUCCUUUGCCUUCCUCUCUCCUCAGCGGCCGUACUUUGCGCCGUACCUCACCUGGCCUGCAGGUGAGCAGCAGCGCAGCGCCCCUGUCCGGCGAGCUUAACUUGCCCAGCCCGACCUCUGCCGGAGUGGCACCGGCACCUCUCCAAGACGCCCUCUUCCCUGCAGGAUGAAGAACCCCAUGCUGGAGGUGGUGUCUUUACUACUGGAGAAGGUGCUCCUCAUCUCCAACUUCACGCUCUUUAGUUCGGGCGCCGCGGGCGAAGACAAAGGGAGGAACAGUUUUUAUGAAACCAGCUCUUUCCACCGAGGCGACGUGCUGGAGGUGCCCCGGACCCACCUGACCCACUAUGGCAUCUACCUAGGAGACAACCGUGUUGCCCACAUGAUGCCCGACAUCCUGUUGGCCCUGACAGACGACGUGGGGCGCACGCAGAAGGUGGUCUCCAACAAGCGUCUCAUCCUGGGCGUCAUUGUCAAAGUGGCCAGCAUCCGCGUGGACACAGUGGAGGACUUCGCCUACGGAGCUAACAUCCUGGUCAAUCACCUGGACGAGUCCCUCCAGAAGAAGGCACUGCUCAACGAGGAGGUGGCGCGGAGGGCUGAAAAGCUGCUGGGCUUUACCCCCUACAGCCUGCUGUGGAACAACUGCGAGCACUUCGUGACCUACUGCAGAUAUGGCACCCCUAUCAGUCCCCAGUCCGACAAGUUUUGUGAGACUGUGAAGAUAAUUAUUCGUGAUCAGAGAAGUGUUCUUGCUUCAGCAGUCUUGGGAUUGGCGUCUAUAGUCUGUACGGGCUUGAUAUCAUACACUACCCUUCCUGCAAUUUUUAUUCCAUUCUUCCUAUGGAUGGCUGGCUAACUUCAUACCCCCAUGUCAGUGUGUGUAUUCUGUAUGUAAAUAUGUUUAUAUUUAUAGAGCAUCAAUCAGUAUAAGCAUUAUUGAGAAAAAUGUGACCUGUAACACUGUGUUCUGGAUAAAAAUGUGAUUAGGAAUCACGCAAAGUGCUUACUGUGUAAGCCCAAGAACAAAGGCUUUCUGAAUCUUCUCAGGCAGUUCAGAUUUAAAGCACCAUCCAAACCUUGGAAAUAUGACAGGUUGUGGUAGAAUUCAGCAAUAUGAGAAAACCAGCCCCUAAAAUGAUAGCCACAAGAGAUUAAUUGUGUUAUUUUUUUUCUCCUGUAAUCCUUGUACUGUUAGGCUGAAUUUGAAGAUUGGAAGACUUAUAUUGAGACCAGUAACUUUACUGUAAAUUUACUUUGUUUCAUUGAAAAAACAAAUUGAUAAACAUAUUAAACUGGAAGAAUUUUGUUUAUUCAAAUGAAAACAUGUUUGAUGACUGGUCAAAAAAUAAGCUCAUAAUCUAUUUUUUUCAUGUAGUAUAUAAGUCAAGAAUGUUUAAUUGUCAUUACGUGAAACCAAUAUUGGCAAAUAGUACUUUAAUGAUAAAGUAAAUGACCAGAAAUUAUACAAAUCUGUGUUUUCCUGUAAAAAUAGCACUAUAGUAUCACUUGAACAAUUCGAUUUGGCUUUACUUACUAGGAAGCCCGGAAUUCAUUAUUUUUUUCCUUUUAUGUGCCACUGUAGCUACUUUAAAUCACUCUGAGAGGUAAAUGGAUAUAGGAUUGAAGUUAUGUGGGUAUUUGGCAUGUGUGUGUAAAAUAAAUAUGUAGAUAGUCACAUACACACAGACUGAGAGACAAAUUGUUCUUGAUUGCUUUAUUAUCAUACUAGUGUGUUCAUUAUAGAGUAUCUGUAGAGGUGAAUGUAAAAGUAAGUCCAAUCUAUUUUCUUAUGUCAUUGAAUUUGUAGUGUUAACUUGCAUAUAUGUUAUUGGAUGGGUUGUCUUUUAAAGCAUUUACUAAUGUACUCUGAAAUUUUUAAAAGCCUUCAGAUUUGUUUUCUAGUCACUUUUUUCCAUAUCAUUUCUAAUUAUAGUUUAUAUCCUUAAAAGAAGGAUGCCACAGUAGUAUGUAAAACCCAAACAAGUAGAACCCAAGCAAAUAAAAUUAUUUAAAAUAAUUUUAAAGAGGCUUAGUGCUGCCAGUCAUAUAAACUGAUUCUGCUAAGGGUCUUAUAAGAAUUGAGAUAUAACAAUGGUAAAACAAGCAUUCAAGUACUUUUACAAAAUUACCAAAUUCUUAAAAUGAAGCCACAGCUAGACUUGCAUUUCGGGUAUUAAAAUUGCUUUCUUAACUGUCAAGAAUCACAAAAUAACAAAUCAUAUUAUGAGUGAAUAUGGGGAGGGUGGGGCCAAUCAGUCAAUGAUAAUCUGAACAAAUUUUAAGAGCAGAUUUUAGAUUAAUAAUGUUUUAUCACCACUAAUUUGCCCACAACAAACUUAGUAUUUAAUUUUUCAAAUUAAAUAUUAUUUAAGUAUUUUAAAUAAUUAAAACAUUAAAUGGCAACACCAUAGAAUAUAGGUGUUCUCUGGACCUAUUCCAACCACUUAAAAUUAUCUUAAGUAUGCAUACAUAAAAGCAACCACUAUGAGAACUACCGUGUUAGUGGUUUUUCACUUACUGUAUAUUACCCUUGUAGGAAUAGUUUAAGGUAAUUCAUUUCUUAAAAAUAUAGUGUCCUGAAAUAAUUAAUUUUUUUUGCAAACUUUAGUUAUUACAGGCAGCAAAAACCACUGUCUGAAACUAAAUCUGUGUUCAAAGAUAAAGACCCCUCAUUAAAAGCCAAGGACAUUCUUAAGAUUGGAACUGACAUAAUUAGUCUUGACUUACUUCAUUAAAGCAAGAUUCAAUUCCUUGUUCAUUUGAGUGUUCAUUAUAUGCCAGGCAUUGACCAGUUGCAAUUUUAUGGUCUGGAAUUAAUAUUAUUAUUUGUAAACUAGCUAUAAUAGAGUAUAUACAGUGCUGUGAGAAUACAGGGGAAGAAGCAAUUAAAUCUGCUAGAAGGGUAGGAGAAAUCUAUAUGCAGGAGGCAAUGCUAGCAUUAAGCCAAGAAAUAGUGUGAGGUGACCUUAUCACACUGAUGUGUUCAACUGUUUAUGGGAAAAGGAAAUUAGGAUGGUUUUAUUUGUGAAAUGUUCUACAACGCUAGAACUGUUGAACUUCUUGGGAGAAAAGGAGAGUCUUUGUUUUGUUGUGCUGAGUUUGAUUAGUUGCUUAACAAAGUAGAAAGAAAAGCACAUCUUCCUGAUCACAGUUAUAAAAGAAACCCUGAGGCCAGGCACGGUGGCUCAAGCCUGUAAUCCCAGCACUUUGGGAGGCCGAGGAGGGAGGAUCACGAGGUCAGGAGGUCGAGACCGUCCUGGCUAACACAGUGAAACCCUGUCUCUACUAAAAAUACAAAAUUAGCAGGGCGUGGUGGCCAGCACCUGUAGUCCCAGCUACUCAUGAGGUUGAGGCAGGAGAAGGGCGUGAACCGAGGAGGCGGAGCUUGCAGUGAGUGGAGAUUGCACCACUGCACUCCAGCCUGGGCAACAGUGAGACUCCAUCUCAAAAAAAAAAAAAAAAAAAAAAAAAAGAAGAAACACCGAGCCAUUAAUGUGUCUCGUAACUUGAGGAAGUUCACGAAUUUCUCUGGGCUUCAUCCGUUAAGAUUCAUCCUUAUGCUCCUGCAAGUCUCUUAUAUUUAUGUAUUUCUAUUCUGAUUUCUGAAAUGAUAACCUAGUAGUAUCUGAUGAAUUUUUUUCAUGCUUAUUUUAUUUUUGUCAUAGAUGAAGGAAGAAUAGAACUAACUAGGGCUAAGAUGAAUUAAUGUAAGUGUCAGAUACUAGGCAGGCAUUAGGAAUGAAAUGAUGAAUGAGGCAUGGACCUGUUCCUCAAGAGUUUAUGGCCCAGUAGACAUAAUUGUAUUAGGACUUUCUGCAGUUGACAUUUGCAUAAAGCUGACUGACUGAAGGAACAGAAAGUGAGACGGUUGAUUUUAACAGAUAUGACCAAAUUUAUACAAACCAUGUACCAACACUUGAAAGAUGGGUGGAUAUAUUCCAGGAAACAGAUUUUGGGCAGGACAUUCCAUGCACUGGAAACAGCAUGAGCAAAUGCAUGAAAAUUGCCUACAACAUGCCUGGCACAUAGCUGUGAGGUACCCUAUUAGUUGUUGACUUGAAAACAUGGAACUGCAUAGGGCAUUCAGGCAAGUGCAAGUGGUUCAGGGGCCAGGGCAGAGCAAGAGUGCUGAGUAAAGAUGUCAGAAAAGGAAAGCAAUGGUCUGGUACAAGUCUUGUGUAGAACAAGAAGUUAAGACUUGAACAGGCAAUCGAGAUUUGGGGUUCAGAAAGAUAAAUCCCAAAAGUAUGGAGGACAAAGGGACUCAUUUUAAAGGACUAGCUAAGAUGCUCAAUCUCUAAAAAAAAAGGUCUGUAUUCGUGAGAGUAGAGAGAAAGGGUGUUAAGGAAGAGUCAACAGACUUUAGCAAAAUCCUUUUAUUUGAUUCAUGCAUAACUCCUGAUGGAGUGUCAAGGAAGACUCAUUCACUUUUCUUUCCUGCCAGAAAGUUGGUUCUUGCAAAAUAGAUUAACUUGAUGACUAUGUGUAUGUUGGAUACUCCUAAUUUUAGCUCUGUUAGAUAUGUUUCUUUCUAAGGACAAGCAACUAUGUAUAGAUUUGUUGUUUAAAUUUUUUUUUCAGUAUAUAUACGUUUCUUGUUUUUCUAUUUUUCUACUUCAUACUGUUAAUGUCAAAUAUCAAAAAUGUUUUCCAGCAAUAUCAAGUUAUGGCAAUGGCAAAAGUCCUUGUUGUAGAUGAGAAGCAUAUAAGAAAUGGUUGCCAAUCUUUGUUUUGUAUGAUCUAUUUAGAGUUUUAACCAACCUAGAUCUGUCAGCUAAGCUAAUUUUAUAUUUGGUAUACAUGCAUGUCAAAUAAAGUUAAUUUUACAUAC